AAAUCCUUCGCGAGUAUUCGUUUGUAUGCAUCAUUCGGCGGUGGAAAGCCGCUCUUUUGAAUAUAUUCAAGUUCGUCUUCAGUAAAGCCGAUAUUUGGGUCAGGAACUUUUGUUUUCGGUUUAGAUGGUGCUUCAAGAGCUGUGGGAGAAUCUGGGGGUGAAUCGGCUGCUAUAGAGCUGUCUAGCUCUUUGAGAAAAGAUAGAUCUUGUGUGAUAGCCUUUUGAUUUUCAUCCAAUUUCUGAAUGAGUUUGUUUUGUUGCUCGUCUAUUGUUUGUUUGACCUGUUUAACAAGAGCAAGUUCAAGACCUGUUUAACAAGAGCAAGACCUUGUUUAGCAUCGUUAUAUGCCUGCACAGUCUGUCUGAUUUCCUCCCUUUUUCGAGCGUUUUCGAGUUUGAGAUCUAAGUUUCUUGAAAAGGCAGCGAUAUCCAUUUGUUAGUAGUCAAGAUAAUAUUUUUUGUAAAACGUGAUGUGAAUAAAUUAGCUGAAGCUAGAUGCGCGCGCACCCUCCCCACUGGUAGUGUAGAAAAAAUCUCCCACAAGGGAUUUCAUAUGGAUGGUGGUGCGUGUAUGUGUAUAUCAUGGUUAGAAAAUAUGGGGAGGCUUUCCAUGCUAUGCCCAUACAUUGCAUCACCCCCUAUGAAUUGGUGAAAAAACCCUCCCCGCCGCCAACUCAUGGGGUUCGGCGAAGUGAAGACGAGACAAAGUCUAAUUGUGUUCGAAGAUGGUGUUACAAUCACUCACCCCCGUAAUUUGGGCCAGAAGUGCCGUUUAUGUGACAAGUCACAUGGUAGAAACUCGCCCCGAGGGUAGAGCCGCGAUGUGAUAACCUAGAACAAAGGCGAAACAAGCCACAAUCCGAAAUACAAGGCGAAACAAGCCAAGGCAAAACAAGUCACAAUCCGAAAUACAAAUCAAAACAAAACAACAAAACAACAAAACCUCUCAUGAGGAACACAACACAGAAAGAAACAAGAUCAAGUUCCUCAUGAGAGGUCUGGUGAAGAGAAAUGGGUUUAGCGCGGUUUUACGCUAAUUUAACGACAAAGUGAUACCAAAAAGUGCUAAAUUAACGUGAAUUCUCGUUAAUUUCAUCGUAAAUGCGCCAGAACCCGUCUUACUCCUACUACUGCUGAGCCCUUACCAGAACUGUUUCAAGGCUUCGACGUUCAGUCAACGAAUAUCGAUUCGAUGAGUUCAACCGACGGAUAGAAGAUGAAUCAAACAGGAAAGGGUCCAAGUCGGUUGCGUUUCCAAAUGUUACUGGCUUUGCUAGUUCACUUCGUUGAGGCUAAUCUGCUUCGCGAGGAUUCUCGGCCUGAUUAUUCACAUGAUUGCCGUCAGUAUCUGCUUUCAAAGUGCGUGCAAAGCAAAGGAACUCGUUCAGACAGUCAGGCGUUAGAAUACUCCU